UGGCUUGUUCGUGAUGGUUGUGGGAUUUGACGGGAGAUUGAAGACGCGCUAAACUUUCUUUGGGAACAUCUCUGACUGUUUACGACGAAGUGCUUUCAAGGCGUCCGAAGUGGACCGACAGCAGCGAGAGCGUCUGCAAGCACAGUGACAGAUGGGGAAGCAUCAGGCGUUUGUGUUCAUCGAGCACAACCGUGCAUGUCCCUUGCUGUUGUGUGGAUGGACAAGAGCGACCUGUUUAACAUUCCUCUCAACUGUGGGCUCUUCCAGAACCUGGUCUCAGAGGAAAUGGAUUUAAAGGGCAACCAAUAAUAUGGGCUCGGCAAGACCUCUGAUCACUAAAUGCCAAGCCGGCUCCUGUCGCUGUGCUGUAUGACAGCUUAAUAAUGGCUUUCCUAGGUGCACGUUUUCAUUUCACAGUAGAUCCGUGGUCCAGGUGCGUGGUCACAGACCCAGUCCUGACCUCCUCAGGUCCACAUUCAUGACGCCUGACAAAGCUGAGCCCUGUAGAGAUUUCAGAGCACGACUCAAGUGUUCAGUGCUGCAUUUUAGGUCUAGUUAUUUUUCUUCAAUCUUAAAUAUGACCCACAUAGAGAAUAGAUUCUUGUGAAGAUCUUAGCUGGUCAUGACCCUUACAGAAAUGUGUCAUGGUUAUAGUUUCUGUCAAAAUACCACAAUUAUUGCAAUUAUUGUAGUGUAAAACUAGUCAUCUGAGCCAUCUAGAAGCUGUUUUGCAUUAAUCACUAAUCAUUUCCCAUCAUCACUCAAAAACAUCAACACGUAAACAAGUAAAAUAUUUUAGUGAAAAUGCAUGUCGGGUUACUGUAGGUUAAUUUGGCUGUUUAUUGUUAUAUUGGUACUUUGAAAUGAAUGAUUCAGCAUCGUUCUUUCAUUUAGAGAACAUUGUGUUUUUCAGCCAGUGGAAACAUGCGUUUAUUUUUAGGUGUUUACUGUUUUUCGUCUUGCAUUAAACCAUUGAUCUAAUUAGCUUCAAUGACUGUUUGGCUGAAAUGAUAGUUCCUCGGCUUGGGGAAAAAAUAAAAACACUCUUUUAAGCCUGCACAGAAAAUAGCCUGCAUAAAUAUGGAGAUAUAUUUAUUGCAGCCUUUUGGUGACAUUCAUUCAUUCAUUUUUUGUUUGUUUGUUUAUGCAUUUGUUCAUUUAUUUUAUAUGCAAUUUAUGUAUUGAUGCAUAUUAAUUUAUAUGUGAAUUAUG